UUUGUUGUGAGGUGUUUGUUCCCUUGGCCUUUUGGGGAAUUGGUGGCAGUGAAAGUGUUUACACUGAGAGUUGUAAGGCCUCAGGGUAGGAAAAGUAGCUUGCUUGGAGUUUGUUACUUUUCCCAUGCUUGGAAGGAUCCAGCUCCGGGCGGGUCCUCCCACAGCCAUAUUCCCAAGGUUAGCUGUCUGAUGGGGCUUGGUGGCUCCGCAGUGUGACUGCUCUAUUCCUUCUGUCCUUGCAUUUGAAUUGCACAGUAAGAUAAAGCCUGCUUUCCUACCAGAUAGGGCCUGGGUGCUGUGGAACACUGGGCAAACAAUGG
rnacentral:lncRNA from 1 species